AUGAGCGGCGGCGGCGGCGGCGCGGGGGGCGGAGGGAAGGGGGCCGCGGCCGCGGGGCCCGUCCCGCAGGCCUCGAGGAAGCUCGUGCAGAGCCUCAAGGAGAUCGUCAACCGCCCGGACGCCGAGAUCUACGCCGCGCUGCGCGAGUGCUCCAUGGACCCCGACGAGGCCGUCAGCCGCCUCCUCUCCCAAGAUACCUUUCAAGAGGUAAAGAGCAAGCGUGACAAGAAAAAAGAGGUUAAAGAGACUCCCGAGCCAAGGUCUCGAGCGGCAAAUAAUGCUACCAGUCGAGGUGUAAGAGGUGGUCCAGAUCGAGGUGGGCGAAACAAUUCUGCUUACAACAGCUCCAUUGAUAACAUGACCUCAAGGUCAUCCGUCUCAGGAUCUGGUAUGCAAUCAACCAAUUCCACCCAGAAGCAAACAGUUCAAAGUUCCUCCGUGAACAAAAAUCUGGUUGUUGAUGCACCAUCGGUACCACCACAAACAUCAUCUGGGUUUCAGCAUGGCUGGUCUGGGACGCCAGGUCAGUUGUCAAUGGCUGAUAUUGUGAAAAUGGGUGGCAGGCCACAGGCUCAGGGGAAGCCUUCUACCAAGACUGUGGUCACAGCGGACAAAGGAUAUGCCGGACAAUACCCAUCUUUGCCCACCACUGUAAACCAGAAUGCAAAACAAUCUGCGAGCACAGUUGCACCAACAGAGCUUGACCAAGGGUUACCUUCUGCGCAAGAUUCUGUUCUGGUUAAGGACCACAGUCACACAGCUGCUGAUAACAAGCAGAAAUAUGAUAAUGAUUGGUCUCCACAAGAUGACCCGCCAGCAGGGAAUCAAUCCUCCCUCCCUGAGACAUCUGGGGACCCAUCAUUAUUUGAGGCACCAUUACAUCCAUCGACGCAUGUUGCUGAUGCGGUUUACUUGCAUGAAAAUUCUUAUUUGGAUGAUAACAUCUCUGCUGCAAUGAGAUCAGGAAAUGCUUCUGAGAGACACUUGGAUCACUAUGGAGGGAAUUCUGAAUAUAAUGAUGGAUUAUUGCAGAACUCGAGUACCUAUCUGGCUCAGACGCAUUCUCACAUAGAGGACCAAGCUGAGGAGUCCAAUGCUGAUGUAUCAGCAGCAGCAAACUUCCAGGGUCUGAGCCUACAUGAUGAAGAGCUAGCUGCCACAAAGUUUGCCGAAGAUAACCCAGCAGUUAUAAUUCCGGACCAUCUGCAAGUUGCCAACACAGGCUGUGCCGGAUUGAGCUUUGGCAGUUUCGGAUCUGGUGCAUUUUCUGGGCUCCUCCCACCGCCAAAGAGCACUGAAAACAAUGUGGAGUUGCCUAUUGUGGAGGAAUCUGAACCUAUAGAUCAUACAGAUACGAGGGAUCAAGAUUUCUACGAAAUUCCUCCGAAUUCGCCACCAAACGAGAACCUUGAGGAAAUUAUGGGAGCUAGCACUGAGAAUCUUGAUGUACCUUCUGUUCAACAGCCUGAUGUCCUGAGACAAGAAAUACUGGAUGAUCCUUCAGGUGUUCAAUAUAAUCUGCCAUCAGUCUCGAGCCACGCGUAUGCGAACCCAGCACAGCCAAAUGCAAUGGAUGCCAUGCAAGGAAGUAACCAAGCGCACACUCUUUCACACCUGUCAAGCUUGCUGCAAUCAAAUACGUUACAACAACACAACCUGUUGGGCUCUAAUAUGGCACCUCUUCGGGACUUGGACUUCGGUUUAUCACCUUUGUUGGCAGCACAAGCACAAUCAAUGGGAGCAAGAUAUAACUCAGCUGCACCAACUACUACUGGCAUGCAGGAGCCAAUGAAGCCAGGAGUUUUCUCGAACACUCAAUCCACACAAAAUCUUCCGAGUACCAGCAUUCAGAUGGCCCCCUCUCUUCCUCAGCAAUUAGUCCAUCCUUACUCACAGCCCACUUUACCUAUUGCACCUUUCGCAAAUAUGAUUGGCGCAAAUAUGAUUGGCUAUAAUCCAUACUUGGCACAAAACUACCCUGCUUACCUACCAUCAACAGCCUUCCAGCAAGCGUACUCGAGUAAUGGACAGUUCCAUCAGUCUGCCGCUGCUGUACCUGGAGCUGGCAUGAAGUACUCGAUGCCACAAUACAAGAACAACAUGUCAGCCGCAAACUUACAACAACAACAACAACCUUCGUCGGUUAUAUCUGGUUAUGCAGGCUUUGGUAGCUCAAGUAACCUUCCAGGAAAUUUUGCCCUCAACCAGAAUGCUGCCCCUCCGUCGGCUAAUCUUGGGUUUGAUGAAGCAUUGAGCGCUCAGUACAAAGAGGCCAAUCAAUACAUGGCUCUCCAGCAGCAGGGCGACAACUCUGCGAUGUGGCUUCAUGGGGCUGGUUCAAGAACCGCGUCAGCAAUUCCUCCUACCCAGUUCUAUGGCUACCAGGGACAGAGCCAGCAGCAGGGCGCCUUCCGGCAGGCGCAGCAGCCCCAGCAGCCUUCUCAAUACGGGGGCCAUGGAUACCCGGCGUUCUACCAUUCCCAGGGCGGCGGCAUGGCGCAGGAGCACCACCCCCAGAACCCGGCCGACGGAGCCCUGAAUGGCUACCAGGCGGCGCAGCAGCAGCAGCAGCAGCAGCAGCAGCCAUCUCACCAGAGCUGGCAGCAGCACGCCAACUACUGA
rnacentral:rRNA from 1 species